rnacentral:lncRNA from 1 species
AAAUAAAAGUGUUUGCAAAGAAAUCAUUUACAAACAGAGAGGAAUAUCACAAUGUUUUUUGCUUUUGUUUAGGGAACCAUUUGGCCGAGGCAGCACAACAUAAUGUGAACAAUUGGCUUUAUAGGCUAGUAAAACGGUCUGGUUAAAAAUGGAAAGGAGAAAAAGAGAAGUCUUCAUCCUGUAGUUUUUGUGCAGGUAGCAUUUGGGUGAAUUUCUGGAUUCUGCUGAAUGGUGGCUUAGAUGACAUGGAUGCUGCUUGU